GACGAACGCUGGCGGCGUGCUUAACACAUGCAAGUCGAACGGGAUUUAGUAGACAGAAGCCUCGGCUAAAGAUUACUAGUGAGAGUGGCGAACGGGUGAGUAACACGUGAGCAACCUGCCUAUGACAGGGGGAUAGCCUCGGGAAACCGGGAUUAAUACCGCAUAAAAUCGUAGAAACACAUGUUUCAACGGUCAAAGAUUUAUCGGUCAUAGAUGGGCUCGCGUCUGAUUAGCUAGUUGGUGAGAUAACAGCCCACCAAGGCGACGAUCAGUAGACGGUCUGAGAGGAUGAACGGACACAUUGGAACUGAGACACGGUCCAAAAUCCUACGGGAGGCAGCAGUGGGGAAUAUUGCAAAAUGGGGGAAAUCAUGAUGGAGCGACGCCGCGUGAACGAAGAAGGUAUGAGUAUCGUAAAGUUCUGUCAUAUGGGAAGAUAAUGACAGUACCAUAGAAGAAAGCUCCGGCUAAAUACGUG
rnacentral:rRNA from 1 species